CAAGUAGCGGAGCAUGUGGCUUAAUUCGAAGCAACGCGAAGAACCUUACCUAAGCUUGACAUCCCAUUGACCUCUCCCUAAUCGGAGAUUUCCCUUCGGGGACAGUGGUGACAGGUGGUGCAUGGUUGUCGUCAGCUCGUGUCGUGAGAUGUUGGGUUAAGUCCCGCAACGAGCGCAACCCUUGCCUUUAGUUGCCAGCAUUAAGUUGGGCACUCUAGAGGGACUGCCGAGGAUAACUCGGAGGAAGGUGGGGAUGACGUCAAAUCAUCAUGCCCCUUAUGCUUAGGGCUACACACGUGCUACAAUGGGUGGUACAGAGGGUUGCCAAACCGUGAGGUGGAGCUAAUCCCUUAAAGCCAUUCUCAGUUCGGAUUGUAGGCUGAAACUCGCCUACAUGAAGCUGGAGUUACUAGUAAUCGCAGAUCAGAAUGCUGCGGUGAAUGCGUUCCCGGGUCUUGUACACACC
rnacentral:rRNA from 1 species